GUGAGAACCUUUAAAUCAGCCUCCCGGCCCUCCCUCCUCCCGGACGCUGCCCCCCGCCUGCUCAGGCCCCGGCAGGGCCCCGGGCGCGCUGAGCGUAGUCUCCGGCCCCCUCCCCACCCGGGGGGAUAAGGUGGGGAGCUCCGAGAGGACACGGGGGCCGCGGGGGGAGGCGGCUGCGCCCCGCUCCCGGGCUCCGCACCUCCCCCGGAGCGGAGCCCCGCGCCCCGCCUCCGCGCCCACAAGAUGGAUCAGGCUACCGUGCGGAGAGCGGGCUGUAAAUAUUUAAAAAGUCUCUCGCGCGCCGGCGGUAAUGGCUUUCGCAGUCGGAAUGUGUGCUAGAAGAGAGGAAGGGCGAUGUGUGUACUGUGUUGUGAGGUGGGGGAAUUGUUCUUGUGCCUCCCUCCUGGUCCGGGGUGGGCUGCAUGUUCCGGCUUCCCGGUUUCCCGCCCUCUGCCUCUCUCCCGCCGCGUCCCACGAUAGCGUUGAGACCGCCAGUCGAUGGGGAACUUGAGCAUGGCAGGGCGACGGAGGCCCGGACGAGGUGACCUGGAGCCACUCUCCCCUUCAGGGUCUCCCAAGGUCCUGGGCUGGGACUGGUCUGAGACCCCCGGUCCAGGUCUGGUUCUCGCUGAUGCACAGGGGAGGGCGGGAAACGCACAGGUUGGAACCCCCUGAGUUUGGGUGGUCUCUAAAGCCUCGGCCUAGGUUUCUGCAGCUCUGCAGCGGGGGCUUGGGCCCUGUUUGUGCCUUUGCCCCCCCCCCCCAUGCCUCUCUUAAGCCUUGAUCCACUCUAAAGGAGAGCCCUUCCCCCGCCCCCCCUUCUGAAUCUGAAAGUAGCUUUGUGGCUGCUGGGACCGAAACCUGGGAGGAGGCAACGCGGAGAGACUGAGGAGGGGGCGGGGCGCCUAGCGCCCAGGCUUCGUGGAGGUCACACGUGGAUGUGGAGGGGGUUCAUUUGCUUCUCUGGCGAGUGUGGGCCUGGGAUCCUUAAGGCCGAGCCCAGCCGGAUGGAAGAGGCUCAUGUGGAAAGCCAGCCAGAAUGGUCAAGAGGUCCUUUCUCCUUCCUUCAACCUGAGAACUUGGCAAUGAUCAAAAGGAGGUGAUUAGUAGCUACAGAGAAAAGACACCAGCAGGCAAGGAGUUAACAGACGCUGAGCCCUUCACCCCCAGGUUCGGGAUGGGGGAGCGGUGGAGAGAGCUGGUCACAAAGGCGAGGGGUCCUGGUGAAAAAGCCCACGUCCUAGAAGCCAACUUUGAAGAACAAAGUAGAGGAUCCAUUAAAAGUUAAUUCAGUAAAUAAACUUCAUUGGCGAUAAAACAAACAAGAAAGAUGGAAGCGCCAACUUAAAAUAGCCAAAAGAUAAUAAAAAUAAAUAGUUUUGAUGUGGCCUCAACAUGUGCUGUGCCUUUUGGCAGGCAGGUCCCUACCCUGGUCCACCCUGCAGAGGCCUCCAUGGAGCACCCUCUCUCCUUUUGAAAAGCCCUCAUGUGUACACGCAAUGUUUUUUGGCAUUUGUCAUUUUUAGGCAACUUCACACAUCAAAGGCGAGCACAAUGUUCUUUUCAGCUCCCUGGUUCCAGCCGCCCAGUGAAGCAGAUACAAUUUCUAUAAAUUGGCCUUCUCCUCUGGGUUUUGAUUGAUCAUCACCAUAUGA
rnacentral:lncRNA from 1 species